UACGAAGGGGGCUAGCGUUGUUCGGAAUUACUGGGCGUAAAGGGCGUGUAGGCGGCCCGUUAAGGCAGGUGUGAAAUUCCUGGGCUCAACCCAGGACGUGCGCCUGAGACUGGAGGGCUUGAGUUCGGGAGAGGAUGGUGGAACUCCCCGUGUAGAGGUGAAAUUCGUAGAUAUUGGGAAGAACACCGGUGGCGAAGGCGGCGCCCUGGUCCGGUACUGACGCUGAGGCGCGAAAGCGUGGGGAGCAAACAGG
rnacentral:rRNA from 1 species